rnacentral:rRNA from 1 species
ACCGUGGGGUUUCGGCCCCAUUGAGAUAGCACCCUUUGUUUAUGAGUACCCUUGUUUCCUCGGCGGGCUUGCCCGCCAUGAGGACAUCAAAAACCCUUUGUAGUAGCAGUAACUUCAGUUAAUAAUAAAUAUUAAAACUUUCAACAACGGAUCUCUUGGUUCUGGCAUCGAUGAAGAACGCAGCGAAAUGCGAUAAGUAGUGUGAAUUGCAGAAUUCAGUGAAUCAUCGAAUCUUUGAACGCACAUUGCGCCCUUCGGUAUUCCGUUGGGCAUGCCUGUUCGAGCGUCAUUUAAACCUUCAAGCUAUGCUUGGUGUUGGGUGUUUGUUCCGCCUCAGCGCGUGGACUCGCCUCAAAUUCAUUGGCAGCCGGUAUGUUGGCUUCGUGCGCAGCACAUUGCAAGCGAUUUCAGCAGACCCCCUUCCAUAAGCCCUUUUUCUACUUUGACCUCGGAUCAGGUAGGGAUACCCGCUGAACUUAA